ACGUGCCGGCGGGGUCGCGUGUCGCCGGCUCGAAGCCGGCCACGGGCUGCUCGUCAGCCCGCCGGCGGGGUCGCGUCCCCCGGCGUGAGC
rnacentral:tRNA from 1 species